GACGAACGCUGGCGGCGUGCUUAACACAUGCAAGUCGAACGAAGAGCGAUGGAAGCUUGCUUCUAUCAAUCUUAGUGGCGAACGGGUGAGUAACGCGUAAUCAACCUGCCCUUCAGAGGGGGACAACAGUUGGAAACGACUGCUAAUACCGCAUACGACCUAAUCUCGGCAUCGAGGAUAGAUGAAAGGUGGCCUCUACAUGUAAGCUAUCACUGAAGGAGGGGAUUGCGUCUGAUUAGCUAGUUGGAGGGGUAACGGCCCACCAAGGCGAUGAUCAGUAGCCGGUCUGAGAGGAUGAACGGCCACAUUGGGACUGAGACACGGCCCAGACUCCUACGGGAGGCAGCAGUGGGGAAUCUUCCGCAAUGGACGAAAGUCUGACGGAGCAACGCCGCGUGAGUGAAUGACGGCCCUU
rnacentral:rRNA from 1 species